UUCGGGGGGCAGCCGUGGGGAAUUUUUGACAAUGGGGGCAAGCCUGAUUCAACAAUCCCGGGUGCAGGAAGAAGGCCUUCGGGUUGUAAAAUUUUUUUGUCCGGGAAGAAAUCCUUUUGGUUUAUACCCUUGGGGGGAUGACGGUACCUGAAGAAUAAGCACCGGCUAACUACGUGCCAGCAGCCGCGGUAAUACGUAGGGUGCAAGCGUUUAUCGGAAUUACUGGGCGUAAAGCGUGCGCAGGCGGUUUUGCAAGACAGAUGUGAAAUCCCCGGGCUCAACCUGGGAACUGCAUUUGUGACUGCAAGGCUAGAGUACGGGAGAGGGGGAUGGAAUUCCGCGUGUAGCAGUGAAAUGCGUAGAUAUGGGGAGGAACACCAAUGGCGAAGGCAAUCCCCUGGACCUGUACUGACGCUCAUGCAAGAAAGCGUGGGGAGCAAACAGGAUUAGAUACCCUGGUAGUCCACGCCCUAAACGAUGUCAACUGGUUGUUGGACGGCUUGCUGUUCAGUAACGAAGCUAACGCGUGAAGUGACCGC
rnacentral:rRNA from 1 species